CUGGAUAUUCCGGCAGCAGUCUUGCCCUCACACGAAGCCACCUUGUGGCAUAUGUCGUCUUGCACCCCCGUGAGAAUACCACGACAUUUGGCACCCACUGUGGGGCGGUACUAUGCUACCGCGCUGCUGCUGGUUUCGCAGUCCGGCGGGACCAUCUUCGCCAUCACCACCGCGGCGUCGCGCCAUCUCUCUAGUAGCGCUCGGGGGCUCGACUUCGACCCGCCCCCGGAGCGACCGCGCGGGACGGCGCGUCCUUGUCAUCGGCCUCGCCGCCUUCGUCAUCACCACCAUUGCGACGCCGACCGUCCAUCUGCGCACGCGCCAUGCGCGCGGUGCCUCGCUUCGGUCGGCCACAUCCAUGCGCGCCGUGCUGCAUCGCUCACGUCUGCUUCCCUCCGCGUUGCGCCUUGCUCCGGCCGAAUCACGCAUUCGCUACUCCAAAUAUCAUCUAGACAAGCUAGCUAGAUACAAGUCAAACCAUGGUCAAACCAUCAGCCAGACACACUAGCAAAAUACUACCCAAACUACCCUAUACACCUAUGCAUAGUCGAGAUGCAAGUCACAUACUAGUUGGAUAGUUUGAACACCGGUCAAAUGAUAUCCAGACAAAGUUCAGAGAAUGGCCAUGCACGGAAUCGUCUCCGCUCUGCUCCACCCCGGCCCCAGGUCUCUCCGCGUAAGCCCUCGCGGCUUCAUCCCGCGGCCGGCUCCCGUCCCGCAGCUGGCCCUCGCCGCACGCGUCGGGUCCCCGCUCCCGCCCCCGCACGCCCGGCCGUCGCAACGCCGGCUCCCAGCUGCCUCGACCACGCUGAACGGCUCCCGGCUCCACCCCCGUGGCCUCCGCACGAUGCAGCCCGCGCUGGGCCGGCUCCGUCCGCGACCCAGCCGGCCUCCUCCACGACGCCACGCCCGCACCGCCGCGGCUGCGUCCCGCUCGCUGCCUCACCAUUCCAGUCAGCACCGUCCGAGCUGUUGCCGUCCUCUGCGCCCACGCCCCAGCGCCGCCUCAAGCUCGCCCGGCGGGCUCCCUGCAGAUCCCGCUCUCUGCACCAGCUGCAUAGCCUCGCCGCACCUCCGUGGCUCCGCGCAUCCGCGCGUUGGCUCCGCUCGCUCACGACAGGUCCGCGCGUGCCUGGGACGCCCAUCGCCGGGUCCUCUACGCCGGCUCAAGCCCGCGCCUCCGCCUUCACCCCGCGCUCCUCGCCCGAGUCCCGCCACUCGGCCGUCGGCUCUGCCCGCGCUGCAUCCGGAUGCGCCUCCCCAGCACCCGGCGUCACGCUCCAGCCGGCAUCCCUCUGCCCUGGCCGCCUGCCGCGCUGGCCUUCCACACGUGGCGCGUGCGCCUGCAGUCCCUCAUCGGCUGCGCGAGCGCGGCCGCGUGCUCCUCCGCGACGCCGCCUGCCCCAGCACCUUCGCCUAGUUGCGUCGUCUUCUGCGCGCCCUGGCCAGCUCCCGCCACCCGGCCGCGGCUCGUCCCGCCACCCAGCGUCCGGCCUCCUCGGUCGUCUCGCCGGGUCCGCCCCGCGCCGCUCCUCGCCGGCUCCCGCGCGCCUGCCGGCUUGCCACCCAGCGCUGGCCGGCUCCACGCGUCUGCGCGACUCCGUCGGCUCCGCCUCUGACCCGGCCCGUCGCCUUCGCUGUCGCACCACGUCCCGGCCGCCGGCUUCUGCCGCGACCCGGCCGCCGGCUUGGCGUGCCAGCCGGCCUCCGUAGCGUCCCGCUCCUGCCGACUGCUCAAGCAGCGAAAAGAAGAUAAAAGAGAAAAAAAAGUGCCCAAGCCGGUUGAAAAAGAGAAGAAAAGUUAAGGGCUUUGUGCCCAGCCAAAAAAAGGGAAGUGGUCGGGUGGUGGCGUCCGACUGCUCGCAUGAAGUCGGGCAAAGAAAGAAAAAUCAGUGGCCGGCUGACUAAAAAAAGAGAAGAGAAGGAGAUAAAUGCGCGACGGCUGCUCGUUUCCAGAGAGUCCGGCUGUCCAACUGGCUGAAAAAGAAAUAUGCGUCCGACUGCCCACAGCCGGACAAAGAGAAGAAAAAAACAUUAGCUUCAAUAAAGAAGACAAAGUAGUUGCCGGGAGAUCCGGUACGACUGCUCAGCAGUCGCCCCGAAUCUCGGGGGCUACACUCAGCGGGUGCGCUAACGCGCCCCCACGAAGUAGAAGAAAAAGUAGUUACCGGGAGAUCCGACCCGGUAGCUCAGCAGUCGGCCCAGAUCUCGGGGGCUACACCCAGCGGGUGCGCUGACGCGCCCCCGCGAAGAAGAAGACAAAGUAGUUGCCGGGAGAUCCGGCCCGACUACUCAGCAGUCGGCCCAGAUCUCGGGGGCUACACCCAGCGGGUGCGCUGACGCGCCCCCGCAAAGAAGAAGACGGAAUAGUCGCCGGGAGAUCCGGCCCGACUGCUCAGCAGUCAGCCCGAAUCUCGGGGGCUACACCCAGUGGGUGCGCUGGCGCGCCCCACGGAAGAUUGCAAAUAAGAGAAGAGUUUUGUCCGGCUCCGAGCAGCCGGCAGAAGAGAAAAAGAAAAAAAAGGUGCUGCAAGAUGCCUCGCCGCCUGGCCAGUCAAGCCUGACUGGUCGGGACCCCUUUGAGCACCCGGAGGCUCGAAGGCUGCACCCAGCGGGUGCGCCAGCGUGCUCAGCAAGCAUUGAGCCGCGCCGGCUGUCUUCGGCAAACUCCGCCUCGGCUACACGAAAAACGAAUGUGAGCUCCUCACCCGCAUAUUUUUUGCACCACGCAAUCGCAGAUAACCCCGAGCGAUGCUUGAGGGCUGUCUCCGCAUUUUAUUACAGUUGCAUCACUGUUCGCCCCGGCGGCAGCCAGAGUUGGCUCGGGGGCUGGCCGCUUGGCCUGAGACGUUAGUUCCCGCAGACGGCUUAGUACCGUGCGCGGUACCAAAGGCCCACUCUUAGUCACAGACCGCAGAGCGGCUGUCCGGCUAGCAAGAGUGAACACUGGAGGCCACCCAUGCGAAAAACGUCCGGGAAGAAAAACGGUUCGGGCAACCCGGUCGUUUCCUUUACAAGUAUCUACUCGGUUGAAUCUGCUCCCAGACUCUGAGUACUGUACACUCCACUUCGCGGCCCACUCUCAGCCACAGACCGCAGAGCGGCUGUCCGGCAAGCAAGAGCACAAGCCAAGAAGUGGAGGGAACACGAAAACGAUUAAGGGGGCUCGGACGAAACCGAGUCGGCACCCUCCGCAUAAAACUUGCAAUGCUAAAAGCAAACAUUUGAUAUAUCUGCGUGGACUAACUUUGUCUUUUUCAUGAUCAUUUCCAUGAACACUCGCCAAAAAACCUCCGCUCAACUUUGCCAAGUUGCCCGGAGGCUUGGGGGCUACUGUCGGAGUAAUUGGACACGGAUACCCCGAAGACGGCGAGACAAGAAUUCAAGAUAUCGGGGCUAGCAAAGCCCCUCAGUCCAACUACCUGGCCGGCGGCUGACUGCUGGCUGCUGACUGCUCCACCAGGCUGACUGCUGGCUGCCGACUGCUGGCUGCUGGUUGCCGACUGCUGGCUGCUCCACCAGGCCGACUGCUGGCUGCCGACUACUCCACCAGGCCGACUGCUCCACCAAGCCGACUGCUGGCUGCCGACUCCUCCGCCAAGCCGACUGCCCGAAGUCAACUGCAACCUGACGAGACACCGACGGGACGAUCAUACUGCGACGUCAUCUACAGUGUACCGCGUCCCCUGGGUACUGAUUUAUAAAGUACCCCAGGAGACAAGCAUGACAUGCACCAUAUGCCACUAGCCAUGCCUACAUAGCUUGGCUUGUAAGCUACCCAAGAUAGCUUACAACCAAAGCCACUACCACCCAUGCCAACUCCUAUAUAUAUAUAGGCACACAUCCAUCCAUCAGGGGAUGGACACACUCACGCACACACAAGCUAGCUAGCUAGCAAGAUAGCUAGCUAGCAAUCCAUCCAACCACUCCUACGAGCAAGCAUGCCCAAGCAUACCCAUUCGGCCAAGAGCAAUGGCCACCAUGCCACAUGCCUAUACGAGGCCAGAUGCCUAUGGCACUGACCUCAGAUACAACUCCAGGAGCACCCUGUACCAGAUAUACCACAUAUACUCAGACAUGCAGGAGUAGGGGUGUUAUCUCUCCAAAGAGCCCCGAACCUGGGUAAACUAGCGCGUGAUACCCGCAUACCCGUCCCUGGAUAUUCCGGCAGCAGUCUUGCCCUCACACGAAGCCACCUUGUGGCAUAUGCCGUCUUGCACCCCCCGUGAGAAUACCACGACAACAAAGAGAAAGUAGACCCACAUGUUUACAUUGUACCAUUAUAAGAUUUUUCACUACUAUGGUCAGUAGAGCUCUGUUGCAAUUCUUCUAGGUGAUUAACUUCCCAUUUGCUACCCAUGGAAGACUGGCGUAGGGCUCUCUGCUAUCCUUUUUUUAGCAGGAAUCCUUAGUAAUCUCCAUCAUAUAUAAUUAUCUAUUUGCAGAGUGCCUUGCACAAUUUUCAUAUAUCUGUUUAUUUGUCAAUCAAGAAACUCUCCAGCUUCAUUGCCU
rnacentral:lncRNA from 1 species